rnacentral:rRNA from 1 species
AACGAACGCUGGCGGCAUGCCUAACACAUGCAAGUCGAACGAGACCUUCGGGUCUAGUGGCGCACGGGUGCGUAACGCGUGGGAACCUGCCCUUAGGCUCGGAAUAACUCCCCGAAAGGGGUGCUAAUACCGGAUAAUGUCUUCGGACCAAAGAUUUAUCGCCUUUGGAUGGGCCCGAGUUGGAUUAGCUAGUUGGUAGGGUAAAAGCCUACCAAGGCGACGAUCCAUAGCUGGUCUGAGAGGAUGAUCAGCCACACUGGGACUGAGACACGGCCCAGACUCCUACGGGAGGCAGCAGUGGGGAAUAUUGGACGAUGGGCGAAAGCCUGAUCCAGCAAGGCCGCGGGAGUGAUGAAGGCCUUAGGAUUGUAAAGCUCUUUUACCCGGGAUGAUAAUGACAGUACCGGGAGUAUAAGCUCCGGCUAACUCCGU